AUACCAGUUGGAUUACGGCUCCGGUUCUCGUAUUUAUCACCGAAGUUAAGCCACAUCGAGCCUUGUCAGUAAUUAGGUGGGUGACCGCUUGGGAAUAUCAGGUGCU